rnacentral:rRNA from 1 species
AGACGAACGCUGGCGGCAGGCUUAACACAUGCAAGUCGAACGCCCCGCAAGGGGAAGUGGCAGACGGGUGAGUAACGCGUGGGAAUCUACCCAAUUACUUCGGAACAACACAUGGAAACGUGUGCUAAUACCGAAUGAGCCCUUCGGGGGAAAGAUUUAUCGGAAUUGGAUGAGCCCGCGUUGGAUUAGCUAGUUGGUGGGGUAAAGGCCUACCAAGGCGACGAUCCAUAGCUGGUCUGAGAGGAUGAUCAGCCACACUGGGACUGAGACACGGCCCAGACUCCUACGGGAGGCAGCAGUGGGGAAUAUUGGACAAUGGGCGCAAGCCUGAUCCAGCCAUGCCGCGUGAGUGAUGAAGGUCUUAGGAUUGUAAAGCUCUUUCACCGGUGAAGAUAAUGACGGUAACCGGAGAAGAAGCCCCGGCUAACUUCGUGCCAGCAGCCGCGGUAAUACGAAGGGGGCUAGCGUUGUUCGGAUUUACUGGGCGUAAAGCGCACGUAGGCGGACUUUUAAGUCAGGGGUGAAAUCCCGGGGCUCAACCCCGGAACUGCCUUUGAUACUGGAAGUCUUGAGUUCGAGAGAGGUGAGUGGAAUUGCGAGUGUAGAGGUGAAAUUCGUAGAUAUUCGCAGGAACACCAGUGGCGAAGGCGGCUCACUGGCUCGAUACUGACGCUGAGGUGCGAAAGCGUGAGGAGCAAACAGGAUUAGAUACCCUGGUAGUCCACGCCGUAAACUAUGAGAGCUAGCCGUCGGGCAGUAUACUGUUCGGUGGCGCAGCAAACGCAUUAAGCUCUCCGCCUGGGGAGUACGGUCGCAAGAUUAAAUAGGAAUUU